GUGCUAGCAGCCGCGGUAAUACGUAGGUGGCAAGCGUUGUCCGGAUUUACUGGGCGUAAAGGAUGUGUAGGCGGAUAUUUAAGUGAGAUGUGAAAUCCCCGGGCUUAACUUGGGGGCUGCAUUUCAAACUGGAUGUCUGGAGUGCAGGAGAGGAAAGCAGAAUUCCUAGUGUAGCGGUACAGUGCGUAGAGAUUAGGAAAAAUACCAGUGGCGAAGGCGGCUUUCUGGACUGUAACUGACGCUGAGGCAUGAAA
rnacentral:rRNA from 1 species